rnacentral:rRNA from 1 species
UACGGGGGGAGCAAACGUUGUUCGGAAUCACUGGGCGUAAAGGGCGUGUAGGCGGCUGGAUAAGUGGGAUGUUAAAUCCCCCGGCUCAACCGGGGACCUGCAUCUCAUACUGUUCAGCUCGAGCACAUCAGAGGAGACUGGAAUUCCCGGUGUAGCGGUGAAAUGCGUAGAUAGUCGGGAGGAACACCAGUGGCGAAGGCGAGUCUCUGGGAUGAUGCUGACGCUGAGACG